GCAAAAAUCCCUCUUCUUCUUCUUCUCCUCUCCGAAUUCCUCUUAUCGCUCGAUGUGUUUGCAAAAAAAGGGAGGCCGACCAAAGGCGGUCGCUGCAAGACAAAUGCCGGCGUUAACCGAGCGAGCCAGGCGGGAAUGGUCAAAGCGUCCCAGUAGUAGUGGUCUGUCGGCUUCACACGACCCACAUGGUGGUUUAUGGCAUAUGGUGGUUUAGAGACCACUUCUUGAGAUACGUGGGGUUAUUCUGGGUUAUCCUCUGCGCGCGCGCCCGCCUAGGUAGGGGAUGGGAGGGGGGGUGAGGCUGCUCCAGGAAAAACAAGCUUUUUUUAUACUAAAAACAACAACAACAACAACUCCUGUAUUUUUCCAAGGAAUACAUUAGAUUCGUUCCGGGGCUAAGAGCGGAGCCUGGGAGAUCCAGGGGAAAUUAAUGUCGCGAUUCAAUUGGAUUCCAUCUCCCAAACGCAUAAGCUCGGUUGCUGUUUCUUUUUUUCUGCCCCGUUUGACUGGUGCCUUUUUACUCCUCGCGUAUCUGACACAUAGAAAUCCAACAGAAACAGCUGCCCUUGUAAGUUGCUGCUUGCUAGAGACUAAUAAUUCUUGGGUCUGUUCAGCCAUACCAAUCACAAAGAUUGCUGAGAUUAUCUGAUUCAUGUUACUAUUUGUUCAGAUUUCAGUAGAUUGCAACUCCAGGGUUAGCAGGGUGUGGUUAGAUACAAAUAACACAGCAUCAAGUUUGUUUUAAAGGUAUUAAUUUUGAUUCUGUCUUCAUUAUUGCUUACCGUGCUAAAUAAUAGGAUAAAGUGAAAGCACAUUUUUUGUAUGAAUAGUAGUCAUCCAUCUCUAAAGCCAACAGAAGAAAAAAAAUAUUUUUCCUUUCUUUUGUGUUGUUCAAGUACCUAG